ensembl:lncRNA
CGGGGAACACCAUCGCGACCCGCUUCACACAACACAAACACAACAUCAUUAAAAAGAAAAAAACACUGACGCCACUUGUGGCACAUUUUAUUUCGCACGGUUGGAAAUCUGUGUCUGUGUGUGUGAUCCAGAUGAACCCCGGAUGGAGCGCUCCCCAGAGGAGGAGAGCGGAGAGGGGCUGGAUCAAUAAAUUAAAAACCAGGUAUCCUAAGGGCUUAAAUGAGGACUAAGAGCUGCGGGCUGUGAGGCAGUGCUGGACAGUGCGCAGAUGGUCCUGCUUGCAGGUCCAUCAAAAACUAUUUAUUCCCUAACCGGCCCGUGCCGCCUGCUGAGCAGCCUGCGGUCUCUACGGUUCUCUCAUACAGCCCACCCUGUUAUUUGGUCCUAAACACAACCACUUCAUAACCCAUGCCUAAACCUAAUCCUUUACAGCCCACCCGGUUAUUUUAUCCUAAACACAACCACUCCAUAACCUAUGCCUAAUCUUAACCCUUCAUCAUGUGUGGUGGCACUGUAAAUAUUUCUGCUUAUUGAAAAAAAUGUGUGUAUUAUUCAUAUUCCAUUACUGUUUCUAAUUUUAAUAAUUCAAUGUAUGAUGUUUGCUGAUGUUAUUAUCAUGUUUAUGCGUUAUUACUAAGUGAUUCAUGUUUCUGGUUUCGACGAUGCUGGUAUUUCGGAUUGUGAGACGGGUGCAUUGAACGUCUCACUGUAUGCGAUGCACCUAGAGAUUCGUAGUUCAGCGCAGCUAUUGGUCAGCUAAACCGGGGAGGGGAAAGGUCACGGCCGCCAUAUUGGCGACGCCCUAGCCGGACCGUCAUUUCACCGAGCUGACCAGAGCGACAACAACAGCGCGCACCUUUAGCUCACACUUUUUGACAAGUUCUAUAGCCUGAGGAAGGAUAUUCUUUAUAUCCGAAACGUUGCUAAACUGUUUAAACUUGUUCCGUUUAUUGUUUUAUUUUUGUUGUUAUUGUUCCAGUUAAUAAAAGGUAAAAAGAACAACUUUUCCUUCGCCUUUUUUUUCGUGGCUAGUGAACACGAGGCUUCACUAGCUAGCGACAUGUACGGGCGUGGCCGGGAGGAUGAAGGCGAGUGGACGCUGGUGCAGUACGGCAGACGCGGUAGGCGCCGCAAUCAGCACGCUCCGCCACAGGACCAGCGCCGAGCCCCGCAACAGUUCCAGCCGCAACAGCCCCGCUUUCAGCAGAACGCACCGCCACGUUUCCAGCGACAGCAGCCCCGCUAUCCACGCGACACCUACGCGAACGCUGUCCGGAGACCCGCGGAUCGGGGAGGCGCCCCGCGGUGGCGCUAUGAUGGCGGCCAGGAUGACAGGUACACGGGACGUCCCGCUAACCGCGGUCCCCGUCCAAGACCCGCACAGCCCCGGUCCUUCGACUCCCGCUUUCAACGCCCCCCCUAUAAUAAUAAUAGCAAUAACAAUAGCAACGUAAAUAGCAAUAACACACGGUACCAGCGAAACCAGAACCAGAACAAUGAGGGCGCUCAGAAUAGGCCCAGAUCUGACGACCCACUUUUCACUGUUAAAUGCCGGAUCCUCCAUAAGAUCAUUAAAGCGGCACAUCAUUUUUCUAACAUUGUUAUAACACACCCACCGGUCACGAUCUCUAGAAUGACCCAGCAGUUAGCCGCAUUCAUUAAGCCGGCUAUUCCCA